rnacentral:rRNA from 1 species
UGAACGCUGGCGGCGUGCUUAACACAUGCAAGUCGAACGGAGAUGUUAUGUGAGCGGAGAGUGCUUGCACUUAACAAUCUUUUAACAUCUUAGUGGCGGACGGGUGAGUAACGCGUGGGUAACCCUGCCUCAUACAGGGGGAUAACAGUUAGAAAUGGCUGCUAAUACCGCAUAAGCGCACAGUACCGCAUGGUACCGUGUGAAAAACUCCGGUGGUAUGAGAUGGACCCGCGUCUGAUUAGCUAGUUGGUGAGGUAACGGCUCACCAAGGCGACGAUGCGUAGCCGACCUGAGAGGGUGAUCGGCCACAUUGGGACUGAGACACGGCCCAGACUCCUACGGGAGGCAGCAGUGGGGAAUAUUGCACAAUGGGGGAAACCCUGAUGCAGCGACGCCGCGUGAGUGAAGAAGUAUUUCGGUAUGUAAAGCUCUAUCAGCAGGGAAGAAAAUGACGGUACCUGACUAAGAAGCACCGGCUAAAUACGUG